GGCGGCGGCAGCGGUACCGGGCCUGAGGCGGCGGAAUGACGAGCCCGGGCGGAACCUGCGCGACACCUUUAUGAGCUCAGCGAGGAGAUGGCGGCGGCGGCGGAGCCCUGCGCGCCCGCCGGCUGCAGCGCCCCCUGUCCCUUGGGAGGGCGCACUACACUCCGUCCCCUCACGCCGCGACCCUGGCCCGGGGCGGCGCCUACGGAAGGGCCGAGUCACCCCGCGUGACCCGGCAGGGCGGGGGUAGGGCCCUGGAGUCAGUCUUGUGGAGAAUUCCGAUGGAAAAAUAUCAGUAAAAAGUGAGUGUAGUUAGACUUUCCUCGGGGACGAGGAGAUCGCCUCCCUGCUCAGCGGGGUGCUCGGGGCGCGCUGUUCCCCUCACACCGCGGGAUGAGCGCCAGGCAAUCCCCGCCGCCCCUCAGCCCCUGGUGGGCAGUGGGCUCAGGCCGGCUGGGGAGAGCGGGAGGGGCUCCGUGAACGAAUGACCACGUGUCUCGUCCCCACCCCAGCGCUGCCGGUGUCCCUCUGUGUACCAAAAGUCUGGAAAUUCAGUCACGGAGCGUGGCGAGAGCGGAGGCGCUGCCGGUCCCAGCUCGGGUGCCCGCGGGUCCUGGAGGCGGGCAUGGACCGGGGCACGGGCUGGUGGCCCUGGUUCCGUGAGGAUCGUCAGGACGGAUUGCAGCAGGCAGCGAAUUUGUGGGGAGAGCACCCCCAAUGGGUCUGGCUUUCCUUGGGACGGAGGUAAGAAAGGCACAGUUUUCCUUUGGGAAUUCGGUGCCCGGCUGGCCGUUUCCCCGGCAGGGAGAGAGCAGAGCCAGCAGUCACGUACUUCUGGUGCCCGAGAGGAAAGCCCAGUCAGCCCCUGAUCCACAAAAUACGUGUUUGUUCCGCACAAAGGUGCCUAACAGUGUGCGAAAUCAAUGAAUGUUGGCAAUGCACAAGGCAGCUCAGAAACUAUGGGCAGAAGAAAGAAGUUGUGGGACUGAUAUGAACAAAACAACAAGGAUGCAAAAACCCCCAUCUUUAGGACACAAAUGUGAAAGACAGAACUCAGUGGUGGUUGUUGAAAACUGCCUGACUGAAAACAUGCUGAAAUAGCAUCACAUGAUAUUUGAG